CACGGCGGCCGUAGCGCGGUGGUCCCACCUGACCCCAUGCCGAACUCAGAAGUGAAACGCCGUAGCGCCGAUGGUAGUGUGGGAUGCUCCCCAUGCGAGUAGGGAACUGCGGGCA
rnacentral:rRNA from 1 species